GCGUGAGUGAAGAAGGCCUUAGGGUUGUAAAACUCUUUCGGCAGGGAAGAUAAUGACGGUACCUGCAGAAGAAGCUCCGGCUAACUCCGUGCCAGCAGCCGCGGUAAUACGGAGGGGGCAAGCGUUGCUCGGAAUUACUGGGCGUAAAGCGAGCGUAGGCGGUUAAUCAAGUUGGUGGUGAAAGCCCAGAGCUUAACUCUGGAACUGCCAUCAAAACUGAUUGACUUGAGAUUGGUAGAGGAAAAUGGAAUUCCUAGUGUAGAGGUGAAAUUCGU
rnacentral:rRNA from 1 species